AUGCCAGAGGCUCUAUUUCCUAGCAUUUUACAGCUCCUAUAACUGUAGAAUGGUUGUAGGUCACAGGUAUAACCAAUGAAAACACAACCUAAGAUACAAAUCAGGAGCUACUGAUGCAAAGAAUGGGGACCAGGAGGAAGAGUUUCUUCGAGACCUGGUGGUUGAAGAGCAGUGGAUCAUUCUUGGCUGUGGUGGGAGAGGUGCUGAACGUUGUUCACGCUGGCUAUGUCAUGAGUGGAAUCUAUGGCGUCAAGGCUAGAGCUGGAGGGAAUGGGCUCCCCAUUGAGGUGAUGGACUUCAUCCCUGGUGCUAUUCAAGCAGUGGCUGUGGGCUUCCAGUCAGGGAUGCAGUGAAUGAGCCUCUUAUACCAGAGAAGGAUGGAUAGAGAAAAGCAUCAUUACAAAAGUGAAAUGUGUGAAUUUUAUUCUGGCUUUGAACAUUGAGUAGACGAAGAAGACAAUUCCAGACGGAGGAAACUCCACAAGAAAUAUCAUGGAAAUUUGAAAGAACACAGUGGGCUUGGGAAGAGAGAUCUCAGUGGUGGAAGCACCAUCAUCCCAAGGAGACUUAGGACAUUAUUUGAAGAGAGUUUUCCCCUGAGGAAAGUGCUUCAGAGGAGAAAAUACACCAGAAAAAGACAAGGCCCUGCUCUGAGGAGUGAAGACACAAUCCAGCAGGCAGGAGGGAUGGCUAAGUUCAAAGUCUUGAGAAGUGCCCCUCAUGGACACCCCAGGGUGCCCAUCUCCAGGUUACCACCAGGUGCUUCCAAGACCAAGAUAACCAGGCAAUCAUAGUAGAUGCAUCAAUGCACCCUUGCCCAAGGGCCUAGACAAGAGGAGGAAGGAAAGGAGGAGCACGUGCACAAAGCUAAGGAGGUGAUUAACAACAUGAUACAGUAAGGACCAGCCAAUAUUAACUGAAUUUCUAAGCUGUGCCAGGACCUCCAUCAUCUCAUGGAAUCCCAAUGGCAUUCAAUGAAGCAGCCUUGGGAUUCUUCUAUUUCAUAAUGGAAUGAGAGAAAUGAGGCUCACAAAGGUUGGAUAACUUGCCUGAGGUCACACAGUUGACAUAUGGCAGAGCCGGGAUGUGAACACAUCUCCCUGCUUGAAAAUCUGGCUUCUCACCCGUAAAGGUAUUGUUUAGCUUCGCAUGAAUUUUAUCACCUUGCCUAGAACCAGCCACCAUCUGCCAGGGCUCCUGACUUUUUCUGAAAUGAAUAGACACUAAAGCCUGCUGGGGAAUUUCAUGGAAAUCAAGAUGACUCAACCCAGAGUCCAUUUCAAGGCUAGGAUGCUAGAGGACGCCAACAAAGGAGUAGGGAAGUGAAACGGAUCAGCUCACAUCCAAGCCCUUGCAUGAUCAAUCCUGCAGUAGGAGUGCUGCUCAGUUGGGACUCAUGAGAGCCCGGAAGAGGAAAAAGCAGCUCUAAGCAUAGCAAAGAAGCUGUUAUGGAAAAGACCCAAAUGUUAAAAUGGUGGACAUAGUAAAGUGAUUGGUUCUGCUUAGGGGAAUCUAGAUCCCCACAUUUUGACCUCCACUGGAGUCUCAGAAGAACAAGUGCCAGGGGGGCUUGCCACAGAGGCCAAGGCAGUGAAUGUCAGGCACAUCACAGUCCCCAAGAUGGGGAGAAGACUGAGAUGCAGGGUAACAACUGCAAUCCAUUCAUGGGAGCCAUGUUUAUCUUAAAUCAUUGACAGUGAGAUAAGGAUCAUGUCAGCCUUCAUACCUUUGAUGAUGAUCCCAGGCUGCAACAGUGACACAUAGAACUGGAUUCAGUAACUAACUACAGAUUCCAUCAACCAGGACUAGUAAAGUGAAAGGCAGAAAUUGGGAGGAGGGGUUUCUUUCUUGCUUAUAAAACUUUAUUUGGUUGUGUUGAGUAUGUGCAUGUAUGUAUGAAAUCCCAUAAAGCAGUCUUCUUAGGAACAAGCCAACAUGCCACAAUGUAGGAGAUCUUUGGAGCACUGGCCUAAAUGGCAGAGAGCUCAAGGGACUCUGCUUUGUACAAGGCAUGAUUUGUACCACCACCACUAUCCCUGUUUCAGAGCACUGUUGAAUUGUUCCAAACCUGGAUUUCUAUGUCAGCUCCCUGUCUAUAGUACUUGACUGAUAAAUGCUAGUUUCUGAAAUCUGCUUUGGUUCUAUAAUUUAUUAGACAGCUUUUUCUUCCCAUUUUAUUACUUGUUUUUACUGUCAUUGGUAUAUUAUCUCUUACAGUGAAAACAUUCAUAGGCUGAUUGAAGAGAAGAUCUGAAAUUAUUAGGCAGCAAGCAUACAAAACCCUUGCUUUAUAAAGAUAAUAUCUUAAAGGCCUAAUGUCUAUGGUUCAAAGCAGCCUGGAGAUGUUGGCUAAAUCUUCCAUCAUAGAGUCCUCAUGGGAUCUGGAAGCUCUGAUUUAUCUUCCU
rnacentral:lncRNA from 1 species